rnacentral:piRNA from 1 species
UGCAGUUUUAAAACUGUGCCAUAGGCCA